UCCGUUGUAGUCUAGUUGGUCAGGAUAUUCGGCUCUCACCUGAAAGACCCGGGUUCAAGUCCCAGCAACGGAA
rfam:Macleaya cordata isolate BLH2017 scaffold1805, whole genome shotgun sequence.